UUCAAUCAAGAGUUUCAAAUUAUUUUUAGUAGCAUACACUUUGCUAGUAAACAGUAAAAUCAAUUGCCAAAUUAGUUUCAGUGCCAUGUAUCGUACUCUAAGCUAUAUGCUGCCCAUAGCAGCGAAUCGUAUGCGCAAAUUGGAGCUAAUACUGUUGAAUGUAAAGCUGCCAGAGCUCAGAGCGCAAAGCGUUAAGCCACGCCCACAGCCAGCGUCAAGCAACUGUUAAUCACAGCUGCUGCUCAGUGUAUUGUGUACGUUUUUGCUUUGUGCCUGGUGUAUUCUUUAUUUUUAAUUACUUUUAUACUUGUCUGUUUGUAUUUCGAUGUCGCUGUAGGUGUAAAAGCAAUUGAAAAUUUAUAAAAAUACAUUUGGAGAGCGA